UAUCUCUCCGUACGGGGAAGGAUGAGAAGCUUCGACUAAGGUUCGAUUCGAGCGCAGCGAGAAAGCGUUGCCGCA
rnacentral:sRNA from 2 species